rnacentral:tRNA from 1 species
GCACCUGUAGCUCAGUGGUUAGGGCACUGGCCACACGCAUCAGUGAUGUUGGGUUCAAAUCCAGUCAGGGCCC